rnacentral:rRNA from 1 species
AAACUUUCAACAACGGAUCUCUUGGUUCUGGCAACGAUGAAGAACGCAGCGAAAUGCGAUAAGUAAUGUGAAUUGCAGAAUUCAGUGAAUCAUCGAAUCUUUGAACGCACAUUGCGCCCCCUGGUAUUCCGGGGGGCACGCCUGUUCGAGCGCCAUUU